AUGCUUACCGAUGGAGAGGCAGAUGAGCAGAUAUACACCAACAAGAUAUUUAACAAAUUCCAGGAAGAAAUAAAGCGGGCCAGCAUGUACACAGCUUACCAGGUUGACGAACAUACCUUCAAGGUGUGUACUCUCAUGGGCAUGUUCGAUUCAAAACCUGAAGACCCGGACAAGGGACGAAACUACUUUGUCAAUGCCUCAAUAACCGAAGGUGAAUACUACAGUCAAUGUUGCAAAUACGAAUGGGACGGGAUUGUGUGGUGCCACAUACUCAAAGUAAUGGACAUGCAUGCGAUCAUGCGAUUGGCCCGCCAUUUCAUACGAUGGCGGUGGGCUUGGGAUGCUAACAAUGCAUUGGGGCCACAAACAUCAACUGCAGUUUUGGUUGUACAUGAUGACAGGCCAGAGGCAACCAUGGAGUCUGUGAGGCAUGUUGUAUUGACAAAGAACUAUGCUGAGCUAAUAGAUGAAGCAUGCCAGAGUGAUGAGACAACCAGGGUGGCAGAAAAGCACAGGAAGGCCCUGAAAAGAAAGCUUGAUGAGACCAAGAAGAGGAAGGCUGAAGAAGCCUUUCAUCUGUUCCCCCGCACCUCAAGUGUGCCUUCGUCCACGAGUCCAUCCUCUGAAAACUCGGAGGUAGGAUCUGGAACAGCAAGCACACAGACUCAGGUUAGGAACCCGCCCUGUUCCGUCACAAAAGGGCGUCCAAAAGAGACACGAUACAAAUCGGGGAUGGAAAUUCAAGCAAAGCAUAAGAAGGCAAAGAAAGGGGCGGGUAAUCCAUAA
rnacentral:rRNA from 1 species